GUGACUCGUCCUCUGUGGGCUGAGACCCCACUGCCCGCCGCAGUUCAAGACCCCCCUCCCCGCCUUGAGACCAGCCUUCCGCACCCACCCCCGGCACCCACAGCCUAUUUCCAGCUAAUCGGUGUGUUCUCUCCUGGACAGCGGUGGGGCCUGACCCAGGGAAGAAGGAAGACAGCCACAAGCCAGGGGAGCCCAACACCAAGGCCAAAGUUGGCUCCAGGGACACCCCUGAAAGCAGCAGUAGCAGCAGCAGCAGCAGCAGCAGCAGCGACUCAGAGGCUGCAGGGAAGGCCCACAAGCCCAAGCCCAAGAAACCUCACAAGGUGAAGAAGCCCAAAGGGAACAACGAAAAGAAGAAGAAGAAGAAGAAAGCAGAGAGGGAAAAGUCUCCCUGAGCUCCCUUACCCCUGCCCCUUAGAUUAAAUUUACUUCCCCCAUGCCAGUCGUGACACUGCAGAGGCCCCAGCCUUGUCCAAGUACUUAGUACUGUGCCCAGUCAACAGGACUGACAGUUUUGGGGGUUGGGGGGGGGGGGGGUCUGUUUUCAAGGAGACUGUCAGUUAGGCGGGUUACGUAUCUGCUAAUGCUGUUCAAUCAAUCCCAAGUGCUCAGUGCAGUGGUCUGCGCAUAAUAAGCACUCAAUAAAUAACAUUGAUUGA